GAGAGAAUCAAAAGUUCUAGCCUUCUAGGAUAGGGUUCAAGCCAUGCAACCAAGCAGCCACCAACACCAACGGAGAGCUUCACAUCAAUGGAGCUUCAAGAAGGAGACAUGGAGAGGGGAGGGGGUAUAUAUACAUAUACUAAUAUGUAAAGGUUAAUUUGAAGGAGGAGUCAAAUGGUUCUCUCUACUCAUCGCCAUGGAUGUACCAGCAGCAAAGCAUGGUGGCACAACGGCGGAGAAUGUAGAGACGAGCUCGUUGUUCCUUCACCAAGGAAACACAUUUGCUUGUAAAAGCGUGUCCUUUGUUGAACUUUCUCUUUAAUCCUGCCAUGGGAUUGAAUUAGGGUUU